rnacentral:rRNA from 1 species
GACGAACGCUGGCGGCGUGCCUAAUACAUGCAAGUCGAGCGGACUUUCAAGAAGCUUGCUUUUUGAAAGUUAGCGGCGGACGGGUGAGUAACACGUGGGCAACCUGCCUGCAAGACGGGGAUAACUCCGGGAAACCGGGGCUAAUACCGGAUAAUAUCUUCCUUCGCAUGAAGGAAGGUUGAAAGGCGGCGCAAGCUGCCGCUUGCAGAUGGGCCCGCGGCGCAUUAGCUAGUUGGUGAGGUAACGGCUCACCAAGGCGACGAUGCGUAGCCGACCUGAGAGGGUGAUCGGCCAAACUGGGACUGAGACACGGCCCAGACUCCUAAGGGAGGCAGCAGUAGGGAAUCUUCCGCAAUGGACGAAAGUCUGACGGAGCAACGCCGCGUGAGCGAAGAAGGUCUUCGGAUCGUAAAGCUCUGUUGUCAGGGAAGAACAAGUACCGUUCGAACAGGGCGGUACCUUGACGGUACCUGACCAGAAAGCCACGGCUAACUACGUG